rnacentral:rRNA from 1 species
UGGGGAAUAUUGCACAAUGGAGGAAACUCUGAUGCAGCAACGCCGCGUGAACGAAGAAGGCUUUCGAGUCGUAAAGUUCUGUUAUAGGGGAAGAAGCAGUGACGGUACCCUAUGAGAAAGCCACGGCUAAUUACGUGCCAGCAGCCGCGGUAAUACGUAAGUGGCAAGCGUUAUCCGGAAUUACUGGGCAUAAAGAGUUCGUAGGCGGUUAAACAAGCCAAUAGUGAAAUCCACCAGCCUAACUGGUGUCAGCUAAUGGAACUGUGUAACUUGAGUACAGGAGAGGAAAGUGGAAUUCCUAGUGUAGUAGUGAAAUGCGUAGAUAUUAGGAAGAACAUCAGUAGCGAAGGCGACUUUCUGGACUGUAACUGACGCUGAGGAACGAAAGCGUGGGGAGCGAACA